GAUAACACAUCUGCAGUUUGGUAUAGCACCCUGCCUAGGCUUCAACACUACCUGGGGUCCCCCAGUGCCCUUGUUGCUUUGGUAUCUCCCCUGAAGGUGAAGACCUGUGAGAGGCGUCAGCCAUGAAUCUCCUGUAUGUGCUCUUCCCCUUCUUCGUCCUGCUGGUCCAGGGUGCUGCAGGUGCAUCUCUGGAUCCAGGAAAUGAAGAUCAAUGUAAGCAAGAAGGGGGAGUCUGUAGUUUUUUGACCUGCUAUCACCCUUAUUACAUCUUUGGAAGGUGUUCAACAUUUAUGGUUUGCUGUAAAAAGAAACCGUGAUGAAUCCCUGGACUUUCUGAGCAGGUUGCCUGCCCCUCUGGCUGCUGGAACCAUCUCGUGAUGUCCUCUCCCCAUCCUGCCUCUGCCAUCCCAAGGUGGUGUGACAGCAGGAGUGGAAGUGCUGCUCCUGCUGGGUGCUCAUGGGUUGGAGAUAUCCCAUCAUGGGCCUGGUGUUGCUUGGGGAAGAAACAGGAUGCCUCCUCCUCUUUUCCCAUCUGGACACUAUGAGACCAGCCUUGCCGCUCUCUGCCAUCAGACACUGCCCUCAGCCCUUCUACAAACCAACGCACGAAGCUGUGCUGCUGCUGCAGUGCACACUUCAUUCCCAGACAUGACUAUCAAAGGUCACAUUGCCAAGCGGUGCCACUCAAGGGAGUAUUAAGCAUUUGGACAAGCUCAGGCAGAACUGCAGGAGGUGAAAGAGGGGCUGAGACAAGAAGCGUUUCAGUACCAAGUAUUAUGUGACCUGUGAAGUAUGUAUACCACACCUUCCACAACAUAUACCAUGUGCAACACAUUUGAGGGGGUUCAGUUCCUCUGAUUUCAUCUGGGUGGCCACAAACACAGCAGUGGCUAGGCUCCCAUCACAAGCAAUAGAGUCAGGAGAACCAACAGAAUGGUGAGGAUGGCUUCAGUUGCUUGGACAUUGGCAGCAGUGCCAUUUCUAGUUCUGUGUGGUAUUCUGCCAUGUGCUGCUGUGGAAGAGUCAAGACUGCUUGCAAGUCCAGUCUAUUACAGGGUUGUAAAAGUUAAAAUCUGUAACUUUAACUGUCAUAAACCAGAUCUUUUAAGGACCUUCUGCGUCUAGUUCAGUAACACCAUUGAACACUGUUUAGUGUAGGAAAUCCUACAAGGGACAGCAAGCUAGAUGUUACAUUUUCGUAAUGCAUUUGAGCUUGAAGUAAAUAUAAUAUGAUAAACCUGGUUAUCUGCUGGUUAAGUAAUAGUUAACAACUG
rnacentral:lncRNA from 1 species